UCCUGGUUAACCCAGGCAGUCUCGUUAGAGUUCCCACCUUAAAUGUUGGCAACUAACGAUAAGGGUUGCGCUCGUUGCUGGACUUAACCAAACACCUCACGGCACGAGCUGACGACAGCCAUGCAGCACCUGUGCAGCAGUCCCGAAGGAAGAUGCCAUUUCUGGCACUGUCUACUGCAUGUCAAACCUGGGUAAGGUUCUUCGCGUUGCAUCGAAUUAAACCACAUGCUCCACUGCUUGUGCGGGUCCCCGUCAAUUCUUUUGAGUUUCAGCCUUGCGACUGUACUCCCCAGGCGGUAUACUUAACGCGUUAGCUCCGGCACAGUCAGGGUUGAUUCCGACUACACCAAGUAUACAUCGUUUACGGCAAGGACUAC
rnacentral:misc_RNA from 1 species